rnacentral:tRNA from 1 species
GCCCCGGUGGUGUAGCCCGGACAAUCAUCCAGCCCUUUCGAGGCUGGGACGCGGGUUCAAAUCCCGCCCGGGGCA